rnacentral:lncRNA from 1 species
GGGAAAGUCAAUUGGAGCUCAGUGGAGAAGAUGCGGGAAUGUGUGAGAGGUGGCAGCGGCCUACAUGCUCAUUCUCCUUCUGAAAUGUAAUUUACUCUGGUUUUGGGAUAUCAGCACCCAGACAUCCAGAAUGCAGACAAGGCCAGCAGGAGAGGGAAGAGGAUCAUGAUGGCAAGAUGGACAUCCAGCCCCAUUCUGGGAGAUUUCAUUAUGGAUGUGGGUUGUAACAGGAACAGUAGUAUAUGAUGAAUGUCAGUCAUAAAUCAGGCUGUUUGAAGAUUGUCACUGUUGGCCUGGAGAGUCAGAUUAUUCUCAUUGGGACUCCUGGAAAGUCUUUCUGUACUUCUGUAUCUA